rnacentral:misc_RNA from 1 species
GAGAACACCCUUAGGGGGGUCAAUUCCAAGUUUGACAAAUUUUUCAGGGUGAAGCAUGGGAAGUUCAACAACCUCUCGCAUCUUCUCGAUUUGUUCCUUGCAUCCUCCAACAUCAUUAUAUGUAACAUCAGGUUUUUCCUCGACAGUCAUCAUUGUGACACUUGGAUCAAUUUUGGGGGGCAACGGAAUCUGAAUUUGAUAUUUAUUCCUAUCAACGCCAACUCUCAUGCCUUCUUCUAUAUCAGUCGGUGAAACUUUAUCACCUAAUCCAACAACAAACUUAGCAAUUUGCUUGACAUUUAUAACAUAUUUUGCAUCUUCAGUAUUGGGGCUAAUUAUCU